rnacentral:rRNA from 1 species
CAGGGAAUCUUCCACAAUGGGCGCAAGCCUGAUGGAGCAACACCGCGUGAGUGAAGAAGGGUUUCGGCUCGUAAAGCUCUGUUGUUAAAGAAGAACACGUAUGAGAGUAACUGUUCAUACGUUGACGGUAUUUAACCAGAAAGUCACGGCUAACUACGUGCUAG